AAGGGAGACCUAAUUCGGGUAGAAGACGAAAAAAUAGUAGUCGAAACCAAGAAUCAAUCCCAAAAGGUCGGAACGAGGUAUGUGGCUUUCAAACUAGGUUCUGGGUUCACAAAAGACCUGAAUCAGGAACAAGGGCUAUUAGCUCAGGUGGUUAGGGCGCACCCCUGAUAAGGGUGAGGUCCCUGGUUCGAGUCCAGGAUGGCCCACCUGCACAGGUGGCAAAAACAAGAGAAACGAGGAAUCAGCACCUUAUCUUACUUACAUAGUAAGAGAGAAUGCUGGCUCUGAGUAAAGAGUCCAGAGGAACCUUGAAAACUGCAUAGAGCUAGGUGAAAAAGCCAAAAAAGAAGACCGCAA
rnacentral:tRNA from 1 species